rnacentral:rRNA from 1 species
UACGGGGGGGGCAAGCGUUGUUCGGAAUUACUGGGCGUAAAGGGCUCGUAGGCGGCCAACUAAGUCAUACGUGAAAUCCCUCGGCUUAACCGGGGAACUGCGUCUGAUACUGGAUGGCUUGAGUUCGGGAGAGGGAUGCGGAAUUCCAGGUGUAGCGGUGAAAUGCGUAGAUAUCAGGAGGAACACCGGUGGCGAAGGCGCACAUCUGGCCCGAUACUGACGCUGAGGCGCGAAAGCUAGGGGAGCAAACGGG